rnacentral:rRNA from 1 species
AUUGAACGCUGGCGGCAGGCUUAACACAUGCAAGUCGAGCGGAGACUUCGGUCUUAGCGGCGAACGGGUGAGUAAUACCUAGGAAUCUGCCUAUUAGUGGGGGAUAACGAAUCGAAAGGUUCGCUAAUACCGCAUACGUCCUACGGGAGAAAGGGGGGGAGUCUUCGGACCUCUCGCUAAUAGAUGAGCCUAGGCCGGAUUAGCUAGUUGGUAGGGUAAAGGCCUACCAAGGCGGACGAUCUGUAGCUGGUCUGAGAGGAUGGCCAGCCACACUGGAACUGAGACACGGUCCAGACUCCUACGGGAGGGCAG